UUAAAAAUAAUGCCUUAAUAUUUUUAUGUCUUUAAAUAAGACAGGUUUCUGCUUGGUAUCAAAGGAACCUGGGGAAAGAAGAAUGAAAACUAAUUAAUUAAUUUUCUUUUACUUUUAGAUGCCAGAAUUCCAGAAAAGUUCAGUUCGAAUCAAGAACCCUACAAGAGUAGAAGAAAUUAUCUGUGGUCUUAUCAAAGGAGGAGCUGCCAAACUUCAGAUAAUAACGGACUUUGAUAUGACACUCAGUAGAUUUUCAUAUAAAGGGAAAAGAUGCCCAACAUGUCAUAAUAUCAUUGACAACUGUAAGCUGGUUACAGAUGAAUGUAGAAAAAAGGUAAACACUAACAACAAUCUAUAGUCACUCAAAGACUUCAUUACCCUUUUUGCCUGAGAAUUUCUUCAGGUGCAUUCACAGAAGUAAGAAUGGAUGUAAAGUGCUUACAGCCAUACCUGGCACAUAGUAAGCACUCAGUAAAUAGUAGGUUUGCUGUAUGAAUUACACAUUCAAAACAUAUUUUAAAGAUAAAAAUUCACAGUAACUUGACAACAAAACUUAUAUUU
rnacentral:lncRNA from 1 species